ACGCUCGACACCUACUGGAGGCAGCAGUGGGGAAUAUUGCACAAUGGGGGAAACCCUGAUGCAGCGACGCCGCGUGAGCGAAGAAGUAUUUCGGUAUGUAAAGCUCUAUCAGCAGGGAAGAUAAUGACGGUACCUGACUAAGAAGCUCCGGCUAAAUACGUGUCAGCAGCCGCGGUAAUCUGAGCGGGCUGGCAAGGC
rnacentral:rRNA from 1 species